rnacentral:tRNA from 1 species
CAGGGGAUAGUCUAAGAUUAGGAUCUCAGCUUUGGGAGUUGAGGGUAGAAGUUAGAGUCUUCUUCACCUGA